rnacentral:rRNA from 1 species
UGGGGAAUUUUGGACAAUGGGCGAAAGCCUGAUCCAGCAAUGCCGCGUGUGUGAAGAAGGCCUUCGGGUUGUAAAGCACUUUUGUCCGGAAAGAAAUCCUUGGCUCUAAUACAGUCGGGGGAUGACGGUACCGGAAGAAUAAGCACCGGCUAACUACGUGCCAGCAGCCGCGGUAAUACGUAGGGUGCAAGCGUUAAUCGGAAUUACUGGGCGUAAAGCGUGCGCAGGCGGUUUGCUAAGACCGAUGUGAAAUCCCCGGGCUCAACCUGGGGAAACUGCAUUUGGGUGACUGGCAGGCUAGAGUAUGGCAGAGGGGGGUAGAAUUCCACGUGUAGCAGUGAAAUGCGUAGAGAUGUGGAGGAAUACCGAUGGCGAAGGCAGCCCCCCUGGGCCAAUACUGACGCUCAUGCACGAAAGCGUGGGGAGCAAACAGGAUUAGAUACCCUGGUAGUCCACGCCCUAAAACGAUGUCAACUAGUUGUUGGGGAUUCAUUUCCUAGUAACGUAGCUAACGCGUGAAGUUGACCGCCUGGGGAGUACGGUCGCAAGAUUAAAACUCAAAUGAAUUGACGGGGUCAUAGCUGUUUCCU